UUCCAGACUCCUACGGGAGGCAGCAGUGGGGAAUAUUGCACAAUGGGGGAAACCCUGAUGCAGCGACGCCGCGUGAAGGAAGAAGUAUUUCGGUAUGUAAAGCUCCAUCAGCAGGGAAUAGAAAAGAAGGUACCUGAAAAAGAAGCCCCGGCUAACUACGUGCCAGCAGCCGCGGUAAUACGUAGGGGGCAAGCGUUAUCCGGAUUUACUGGGUGUAAAGGGAGCGUAGACGGAAAGGCAAGUCAGAAGUGAAAGCCCAAGGCUCAACCAUGGGACUGCUUUUGAAACUGUCAAACUAGAGUACGGGAGAGGUAAGAGGAAUUCCUAGUGUAGCGGUGAAAUGCGUAGAUAUUAGGAAGAACACCAGUGGCGAAGGUGGCUUUCUGGACUGAAACUGACGCUGAGGCACGAAAGCGUGGGGAGCGAACAGGAUUAGAUACCCGAGUAC
rnacentral:rRNA from 1 species